AAGAACGACCCGCGAAUCGUCAUUGCGUACUAGACAGAGCCCGUGAGCACCUAACGCUCAUGGGACUCGCGUCGCGUCGGCGUGGGUGUACUCGAGACCAGCGUCGUACCGGCGGACAAACAACGUCAGCACGGAUCGUGCCAAGGAGCUGCAUGGAGAGAAUCGUCGUCCCACGCCUUUGAUAGUCCUCGAUGCGGGACGGGGGGCGGGGGAUGUACCAUCUCUACUCAAGUUAACGACUCUCGGCAACGGAUAUCUCGGCUCUUGCAUCGAUGAAGAACGUAGCGAAAUGCGAUACUUGGUGUGAAUUGCAGAAUCCCGCGAACCAUCAAUUCUUUGAACGCAAGUUGCGCCCGAAGCCAUUCGGCCGAGGGCACGCCUGCCUGGGUGUCGUGAAUCCCCUUGCCCCUAGGCACCCGCAUGAGCAUUGGCGGGGAUAUAUGCUCGGGCGCAGAAUAUGGUCUCCCGUGGGAUCGGCAUGCACGGCAUGUCGAGGUGCGGUUGGCCGAAAAUCGAGCAAUGGCUGUGACGGGCACCACGGCGUUCGGUGGAUCGAAUGAGAUUGGCUGCGCCGUGGGCUCGGCAUUAGGCGGGCUCCGGACUUUGAGUAUCCCCGAGUACGAUCCCAGGUCAGGCGGGGCUACCCGCUGAGUUUAAG
rnacentral:rRNA from 1 species